GUCCACGCCCUAAACGAUGCAUAUUUGGUGUGGGUGAUUCAGUUCAUCCGUGCCGGAGCUAACGCGUUAAAUAUGCCGCCUGGGGAGUACAGUCGCAAGGCUGAAACUCAAAGGAAUUGACGGGGCCGCACAAGCGGUGGAGCAUGUGGUUCAAUUCGACGCAACGCGAAGAACCUUACCUGGGCUCGAACGGCCGGUUAACGGAGGUGGAAACACUUCUAUCCCGCAAGGGAGUCCGGUCGAGGUGCUGCAUGGCUGUCGU
rnacentral:rRNA from 1 species